GAGGGUGUAGCUCAGUGGUAGACCAUGUGCUUAGCAUGCACGAAGUCUUGGGUUCAAUCCCCAGUCCUCU
rnacentral:tRNA from 1 species